rnacentral:rRNA from 1 species
GUGGAUUAGAUACCCUGGUAGUCCACGCCCUAAACGAUGUCAACUGGUUGUCGGGGAAGUUAUUCCUUGGUAACGAAGCUAACGCGUGAAGUUGACCGCCUGGGGAGUACGGCCGCAAGGUUAAAACUCAAAGGAAUUGACGGGGACCCGCACAAGCGGUGGAUUAUGUGGAUUAAUUCGAUGCAACGCGAAAAACCUUACCUACCCUUGACUUGUACGGAAUCCCGCAGAGAUGCGGGGGUGCCCGAAAGGGAGCCGUAACACAGGUGCUGCACGGUUGUCGUCAACU